CAUGCCGUAAACGUUGGGAACUAGAUGUGGGGACCAUUCCACGGUCUCCGUGUCGCAGCUAACGCAUUAAGUUCCCCGCCUGGGGAGUACGGCCGCAAGGCUAAAACUCAAAGGAAUUGA
rnacentral:rRNA from 1 species